rnacentral:rRNA from 1 species
UACGUAGGGCGCAAGCGUUAUCCGGAAUUAUUGGGCGUAAAGAGCUCGUAGGCGGUCUGUCGCGUCGGCUGUGAAAUCCCGGAGCUCAACUCCGGGUCUGCAGUCGAUACGGGCAAACUGGAGUACUGCGAGGGGAGACGUAGGCGAAUUCCUGGUGUAGGCGGUAGAAAUGCGCAGAUAUCAGGAGGAACACCGGUGGCGAAGGCGGGUCUCUGGGCAGUAACUGACGCUGAGGUGCGAAAGCCGUGGGGAGCAAACAGG